AGGGGGUUUGAUCCUGGCUCAGAAUGAACGUUGGCGGCGUGGAUUAGGCAUGCAAGUCGCGCGACAAGCCUGUCUGCUUGCAGAGAGGUGGAGGAGCGGCGAAAGGGAGAGUAACGCGUGGGCAACCUACCCCGAGGUCUGGGAUAGCGGUUCGAAAGAGCCGGUAAUACCGGAUAAUGUCUCUGGACCAAAGGUGUGAUUCCGUCUUGGGAUGGGCCCGCGUCCUAUUAGCUUGUUGGUGGGGUAACGGCCUACCAAGGCUGAGAUGGGUACCGGGUGUGAGAGCAUGGCCCGGCUCACUGGGACUGAGACACUGCCCAGACACCUACGGGUGGCUGCAGUCGAGAAUCUUCGGCAAUGGGCGCAAGCCUGACCGAGCGACGCCGCGUGCGGGAUGAAGGCCUUCGGGUUGUAAACCGCUGUCAGUUGGGAGGAAAUGCAUCAGGGUUCUCUCUGGUGUUUGACCGAUCUUCAGAGGAAGGCCGGGCUAAGUUCGUGCCAGCAGCCGCGGUAAGACGAACCGGUCGAACGUUAUUCGGAAUCACUGGGCUUAAAGAGUGUGUAGGCGGCCUAGCAGGUGAGGUGUGAAAUCCCUCGGCUCAACCGAGGAACUGCGCUUCAACCGUUAGGCUUGAGGGAGAUAGAGGUGAGCGGAACUGAUGGUGGAGCGGUGAAAUGCGUUGAUAUCAUCAGGAACACCUGUGGCGAAGCGGCUCACUGGGUCUCUUCUGACGCUGANGCACGAAAGCUAGGGUAGCGAACAGGNAUUAGAUACCCUGGUAGUCCU
rnacentral:rRNA from 1 species